CAAGAACAUGGAAAUCCUGCAUCAUCUGUGUGAAAAAGACUAACACGGCUGUUCCUCUGAAACCUGCCAGGCAUUGUUGCUGAAGAAGGGGCAGCUAUCGGUGGCCUAGAAGAGAUACCAGUCCUGUCAACAUUUGUGACAGCUGUUGCCUAGGAGGAGGAGAGAGAUGGGAGAAUAUGAAUUUUUUAAAUCAAGACUGGAUGCCAGUUGAAAGGAUACGUUAUCACUGAGACAGAUGUUAUGGACUUUUAGAAAUGAGGGG